GGAUAUCACUCAGAUUUUUCGCCCGUGUUUCCAGUCUUGCCAUGACGUCACGCGCUCUAUCCUGAGCGCUCCAUUGAGCGCGUGGUCGCGAGCACAUGGAAGUGAGGUCGAGAUUUGUCUGAAAGACGCGCAACUGAUCACCUGAAAAAAGGAAUAUAAUAAGGCAGCAAAACCAGCCCGACCACACUGGGGUGCAGGGGAUUGCUGCAGACCCCCCAUGCAGUCCUGUGUCUCGGCAUCGCAGCUGCAGCACCUAUACAAGACCGACGACAUGGAGCUGAAUAGGAAGGACAGAGGUGGAAACGGCUGAUCCAUGCACCGCUGAAGGCAGAGGAAGAUCUGGCACAAUUAAUUUCUUUAAAUUACCGUUUUGCACAAAAUGUUGGAGUAUUCCUUUAAAACUACAACCCACUACAACCCACUGGUUUACUCACACAGUUUGUGCGCACAUUUGUGAUCUGUAUAACUUGUGUCAUCGGUGUAAGUUCACCCAGUUUUAUGUUCCUUGUUGCACUUUUCACCGCCUGAGUGUGUACGGAAAGCUGUGCAAUUUUCUGAAUAAAUCGUCAGAUGUUUGUCCGA